UACGUAGGGGGCUAGCGUUGUCCGGAAUCAUUGGGCGUAAAGCGCGUGUAGGCGGCCCGGUAAGUCCGCUGUGAAAGUCGGGGGCUCAACCCUCGAAUGCCGGUGGAAACUGUCGGGCUAGAGUCCGGAAGAGGCGAGUGGAAUUCCUGGUGUAGCGGUGAAAUGCGCAGAUAUCAGGAGGAACACCAAUGGCGAAGGCAGCUCGCUGGGACGGUACUGACGCUGAGACGCGAAAGCGUGGGGAGCAAACAGG
rnacentral:rRNA from 1 species